AACGAACGCUGGCGGCGCGCCUAAUACAUGCAAGUCGAACGAGAAGCUGUAGCAAUACAGUUGUACAGUGGCGAACGGGUGAGGAAUACAUGGGUGACCUACCCUCGAGUGGGGAAUAACCAGCCGAAAGGUUGGCUAAUACCGCGUACGCUUCCCAGUCUACGGGUUGGGAAGGAAAGCGAUGCCGUGGGUAUCGCGCUCAAGGUUGGGCUCAUGUCCUAUCAGCUUGUGGUGGGGUAACGGCUCACCAAGGCAACGACGGGUAGCUGGUCUGAGAGGACGAUCAGCCACACUGGCACUGCGACACGGGCCAGACUCCUACGGGAGGCAGCAGUAAGGAAUAUUGCGCAAUGGGCGAAAGCCUGACGCAGCGACGCCGCGUGGGGGAUGAAGGUCUUCGGAUUGUAAACCCCUUUCGGGAGGGAAGAUGGAACGAGCAAUCGUUCGGACGGUACCUCCAGAAGCAGCCACGGCUAACUUCGUGCCAGCAGCCGCA
rnacentral:rRNA from 1 species